rnacentral:rRNA from 1 species
CAGCAGCCGCGGUAAUACGAAGGGUGCAAGCGUUAAUCGGAAUUACUGGGCGUAAAGCGUGCGUAGGCGGUGAGUUAAGUCUGCUGUGAAAUCCCCGGGCUCAACCUGGGAAUGGCAAUGGAUACUGGCAAGCUAGAGUGUGUCAGAGGAUGGUGGAAUUCCCGGUGUAGCGGUGAAAUGCGUAGAGAUCGGGAGGAACAUCAGUGGCGAAGGCGGCCAUCUGGGACAACACUGACGCUGAGGCACGAAAGCGUGGGGAGCAAACAGGAUUAGAUACCCGUGUAGUCCCUGUCUCUUAUAC